rnacentral:rRNA from 1 species
UUAGUGGAAGCGUCUGGAAAGGCGCGCGAUACAGGGUGACAGCCCCGUACACAAAAAUGCACAUGCUGUGAGCUCGAUGAGUAGGGCGGGACACGUGGUAUCCUGUCUGAAUAUGGGGGGACCAUCCUCCAAGGCUAAAUACUCCUGACUGACCGAUAGUGAACCAGUACCGUGAGGGAAAGGCGAAAAGAACCCCGGCGAGGGGAGUGAAAAAGAACCUGAAACCGUGUACGUACAAGCAGUGGGAGCACGCUUAGGCGUGUGACUGCGUACCUUUUGUAUAAUGGGUCAGCGACUUAUAUUCUGUAGCAAGGUUAACCGAAUAGGGGAGCCGAAGGGAAACCGAGUCUUAACUGGGCGUUAAGUUGCAGGGUAUAGACCCGAAACCCGGUGAUCUAGCCAUGGGCAGGUUGAAGGUUGGGUAACACUAACUGGAGGACCGAACCGACUAAUGUUGAAAAAUUAGCGGAUGACUUGUGGCUGGGGGUGAAAGGCCAAUCAAACCGGGAGAUAGCUGGUUCUCCCCGAAAGCUAUUUAGGUAGCGCCUCGUGAAUUCAUCUCCGGGGGUAGAGCACUGUUUCGGCAAGGGGGUCAUCCCGACUUACCAACCCGAUGCAAACUGCGAAUACCGGAGAAUGUUAUCACGGGAGACACACGGCGGGUGCUAACGUCCGUCGUGAAGAGGGAAACAACCCAGACCGCCAGCUAAGGUCCCAAAGUCAUGGUUAAGUGGGAAACGAUGUGGGAAGGCCCAGACAGCCAGGAUGUUGGCUUAGAAGCAGCCAUCAUUUAAAGAAAGCGUAAUAGCUCACUGGUCGAGUCGGCCUGCGCGGAAGAUGUAACGGGGCUAAACCAUGCACCGAAGCUGCGGCAGCGACGCUUAUGCGUUGUUGGGUAGGGGAGCGUUCUGUAAGCCUGUGAAGGUGUGCUGUGAGGCAUGCUGGAGGUAUCAGAAGUGCGAAUGCUGACAUAAGUAACGAUAAAGCGGGUGAAAAGCCCGCUCGCCGGAAGACCAAGGGUUCCUGUCCAACGUUAAUCGGGGCAGGGUGAGUCGACCCCUAAGGCGAGGCCGAAAGGCGUAGUCGAUGGGAAACAGGUUAAUAUUCCUGUACUUGGUGUUACUGCGAAGGGGGGACGGAGAAGGCUAUGUUGGCCGGGCGACGGUUGUCCCGGUUUAAGCGUGUAGGCUGGUUUUCCAGGCAAAUCCGGAAAAUCAAGGCUGAGGCGUGAUGACGAGGCACUACGGUGCUGAAGCAACAAAUGCCCUGCUUCCAGGAAAAGCCUCUAAGCAUCAGGUAACAUCAAAUCGUACCCCAAACCGACACAGGUGGUCAGGUAGAGAAUACCAAGGCGCUUGAGAGAACUCGGGUGAAGGAACUAGGCAAAAUGGUGCCGUAACUUCGGGAGAAGGCACGCUGAUAUGUAGGUGAAGUCCCUCGCGGAUGGAGCUGAAAUCAGUCGAAGAUACCAGCUGGCUGCAACUGUUUAUUAAAAACACAGCACUGUGCAAACACGAAAGUGGACGUAUACGGUGUGACGCCUGCCCGGUGCCGGAAGGUUAAUUGAUGGGGUCAGCGCAAGCGAAGCUCUUGAUCGAAGCCCCGGUAAACGGCGGCCGUAACUAUAACGGUCCUAAGGUAGCGAAAUUCCUUGUCGGGUAAGUUCCGACCUGCACGAAUGGCGUAAUGAUGGCCAGGCUGUCUCCACCCGAGACUCAGUGAAAUUGAACUCGCUGUGAAGAUGCAGUGUACCCGCGGCAAGACGGAAAGACCCCGUGAACCUUUACUAUAGCUUGACACUGAACAUUGAGCCUUGAUG